AUUGAACGCUGGCGGCAGGCCUAACACAUGCAAGUCGAACGGUAACAGGAAGAAGCUUGCUUCUUUGCUGACGAGUGGCGGACGGGUGAGUAAUGUCUGGGAAACUGCCUGAUGGAGGGGGAUAACUACUGGAAACGGUAGCUAAUACCGCAUAACGUCGCAAGACCGAAAAGGGGGACCUUUCGGGGCCUCUUGCCAUCGGAUGUGCCCAGAUGGGAUUAGCUAGUAGGUGGGGUAACGGCUCACCUAGGCGACGAUCCCUAGCUGGUCUGAGAGGAUGACCAGCCACACUGGAACUGAGACACGGUCCAGACUCCUACGGGAGCAGCAGUGGGGAAUAUUGCACAAUGGGCGCAAGCCUGAUGCAGCCAUGCCGCGUGUAUGAAGAAGGCCUCGGUUGUAAGUACUUUCAGUACGGGGGAGGAAGGGAGUAAAGUUAAUACCUUUGCUCAUUAGACGUUAACCCGCAGAAGAGCACCGGCUAACUCCGUGCCAGCAGCCGCGGUAAC
rnacentral:rRNA from 1 species